GCACCUAUUGCCUGUAGGCAACUGGAACGCAAGGAGAAUAGACGUGGCACGUAUCGCUGGCGUCAACAUCCCGAC
rnacentral:sRNA from 1 species